UGGAGAAGUUGAGGGGGGCUGCUCCUAGUACGAGAGGACCGGAGUGGACGCAUCACUGGUGUUCGGGUUGUCAUGCCAAUGGCACUGCCCGGUAGCUAAAUGCGGAAGAGAUAAGUGCUGAAAGCAUCUAAGCACGAAACUUGCCCCGAGAUGAGUUCUCCCUGAGACUUUAAGUCUCCUGAAGGAACGUUAAAGACGAUGACGUUGAUAGGCCGGGUGUGUAAGCGCAGCGAUGCGUUGAGCUAACCGGUACUAAUGAACCGUGAGGCUUAACCUUAC
rnacentral:rRNA from 1 species